UAUAUAUAUAUAUAUAUAUAUAUUUAGAAAAUGGGUAGAACUAUGAAGAGACAUUUCACUGAAGCAGUUAUACUGAGAUAAAUAGGCACAUAAAAAGAUUUCCAACAUCACCAUCCAUCAAAUCUCAGAUCUCAGCAUAUUCUGCUUUAAAAGACUCAUCUUGUCACAUUUCAGUAAGAGGCAGAAUCGAGAUUUGAAUCCAUGUUGUCUGGUUGCAAAGACAAAGCUUUUAAUGAUGAUGCUACAGUAACAAUGCUAGUUAUUUUUGUCCUUUACUCACCAUCUAUACCUAUUUUGUUAGUAUCUCUUGUAAUUUUUAAAUGGUUUAUCUUCAUAUAUCAUUGUGAUUGUGGUAACUUUGUAUUAAAUCUAUAUUUUUAUAGAUC
rnacentral:lncRNA from 10 species